rnacentral:lncRNA from 1 species
UGAUUUUCGCUUGUUAAAUUAGUUCUAUAAUCAGCCGAAGCAUAAACUGUAUGAAUAUUCAUAUAAGAACCUAUGAUAGAUGAUAAACAAAGUUGCAUAAAACCAAUGGAUUGAUUGCUUUUAUAUUAAUUAAAUUCGUAAUCUCUGUUAUUGCUUCCACAAACAAAAAAACCCCAAAUUGCAACCUUUAAAUUCAUUCUAAUAUUGUUAAACCGAUCGUGAGUCCUUGCGAAACGACCAAGGUCACUACCUUGUACUACUUAUUUUAAAAUUAUUUUGAUCACGAAACGACAGUGAUCA